UAAAGACUUGCUGCUUGAAUUCAUAUUUGAGUAUACAAUUAAACAUUUAGUUGAUCAAGGAUGAAAACAAAGUAUUUCAUCUUCGUGGUCUCUCUUUGUGCACUAUUGCUUUUCUCUGUUGUGGCAAUUAGGCCAUCAAAAGAUGAAAUACAAUAUGGUGCAACUGAAGAAUCUAAAACAAAAACUAGGGUAGAUACAUAUAGAGGUUGGGGAGGAGGUGGACAGGGUGGAAAUCCGGGAGGAGAAGAAGAACCUGGAGGAGUUCCAGGAGAAGGUGAAGUAUGAGAGGUGGGCACAACAAAAGAGGUUAGGGAGGAUGAGAAAAAUAAGGAGAAUCGGGACAAAGGUAGUGCAAAGGAGCGAUCGAAGAAGGUUGAGGAGGAGGAGGAGGAGGUGGAGGCGGUGAAAAUGGAGAGCCUAGGGGACAUGCAUGAAAACUAGACACAUGCAUGUAGGUAUUGUAUCGUAUCUCUUGCAAAUGUAAAAUAAAAGCAUGAUCUCUAUCUUCAAUAAGAUAAUCACUUUUUCCUUAAAUCAAAAUGUGUUGUUUUUGUAAUUUGAAAAUUACGACAGAGCUUUGAAACUAUUACCGGGGUGAGUCACGACCAGGUCGCUUUCUUUAAGACGUUUCGCGGCACUACCUAAGUUGUGCAAGGUAGACUAGCAACCGCGCCGCCUCCAGGAUAAAACAGCCCAGAUUCUAACUGUACGAUUAAAGGCUGCACUGCUAGAAAUCGCUCGAGAAUAACACCUCAAUAUGGUUUCGAAAAGUUUCGAAAAACCACUCUAAUAUGGUACGCAAACCACUCGAGAAACCAAAGAAGGAGGAAGAAAAGAACGGUUCGUCAACACAAACUGAGGGAGAUGAGAAAGGGAGAAAACUAGAGAAGAGGAUUCGAUUCUCGGUUUUGGAGUGAAGAAUCCCAUUCCCAAGCUCUCUAUUUAUAGAGGGGAAUUUUCCUCAUUUUCUCCACCGACCCGGCUCGCGACCCGCCAAACUCAGCCCACGUAACGGUAACCACGACGCGGAAACGUGGAGCGGAAGCUUGCGCGUGUGAAAAACGUGUGAGACUUGGUCUUCCGCGUGCGGGAAUCUCAGAGCA